UUUAUGGAGAGUUUGAUCCUGGCUCAGGAUGAACGCUGGCGGCGUGCCUAAUACAUGCAAGUCGAGCGAACGGAUGAGAAGCUUGCUUCUCUGAUGUUAGCGGCGGACGGGUGAGUAAAACGUGGAUAACCUACCUAUAAGACUGGGAUAACUUCGGGAAACCGGAGCUAAUACCGGAUAAUAUUUUGAACCGCAUGGUUCA
rnacentral:rRNA from 1 species